UAAAGGCAGGUGCUGCUUCACUGACCUGAUCUUCUUCUGUGACAUGGUGACCUGCAGAGCGGAUGAGGGAAAGGCUGUAAAUAUGUCUACCUGGACUGUAGGAAAGCAUUUGACACUGUUUCCCGCAGCAUUCUCCUGGAGAAGCUGGUAGCCCAUGGCUUGGACGGGUGCACUGUUCAGGGAUAAAGAGCUGGCUGGUGGCCGGGCCCAGAGAGUGGUGGUGAAGGGAGUUGCCUCCAGCUGGUGGCUGAGCACCAGUGAUGUCCCCCAGGGGUCAGUAGGGGGGCCAGUCCUGUUUAACAUCUUCCUGAUGAUCUGGAUGAGAGGAUCAUUUGCAUAUGACCUGAGGUUGGGCAGCAGGAGGGUUGAUGUCCCAGAGGAUAGGAAGGUGCUGCAGGGGGAUAUGGGCAGCCUGGAUCCAUGGGCCCAGGACUAUUGGAUGAAGUUCAACAAGGUCAAGUGCUGGGUCCUGCACUUGAGUCACAACCACCCCGUGCAGCACUCCAGGCUUGGGAAAGAGUGGCUGGAAAGCUACUUGGUGGGAAAGGAUCUGACCUGUAUCAGCAAUAGUGUGGCCAGCAGGACCAGGACAAUGAUUGUCCCCCUGGACUUGGCACUGGUGAGGCCACACCUCAAUUCCUGUGUCCAGUCAAGCAUUGGAACAAGCUGCCCAGGGAAGUGGUGGAAUCAUCAUCUCUCGAAGUGGUCAAAAAACUCGUGGAUGUGGUGCUUAGGGGCAUGGCUUAAUGGUAGAGCUGGCAGUGUUAGGUUAAAGGUUGGACUCAAUGAACUUAGAGGUUAUUUCCAACCAUAAUGAUCCUGUGAUUCUUUGUUACCUUUUGUGAAGGGAAAACAAGAAAAGCAGAUGAGAAAUCUCUUUUCUCUUUUUUCCUGUUGCACACGAUUUAAAAUAACAGUGGGAAGUUUGCUAAAAGUGGCUACAGGGUAUACAUAAUUUAAUUUCACUUAUAAUAGGUUAUAAAUAUGGAGAGAUUUUUAAUUUCCCCCUCCCCUGUUGCUGUGGAAUGCUUGUUUGCGAGAAUAAAUUGACCAAUUACUUUUAGAAUGGGGCUGGAAAAAAAUGGGUUUAGUAUUUUUAAUAAUGUCAGCUUAACAGCAACUUCACUGAGAGGGACUUUUCUUUGGGCUUUUUUAAAUCUUUGUAUUUUAAGUAUUACUAAGGUUCAAUGGUUUCCAUGGUUACACUUAAAACCUACUAAACCUAAAAGUAUUUUCUGGUACAUAUUGAGACCAUGUGACUGUGAUACAGGAUAAAAGUUAUCCAGGGAAAUUUUAUACUGAUGAAACUGAAAGUGGAAGAGCUCAUGCCAGUCUUUUUCUCUGUAGAUCAUCAUCUGAGUUUUCAGGAGUAAAUAUCUCUGUAGAUAAAUUGAGGGGCAGUUUCUGCACAAUAUGGUUUCAGAAGCACUAUUUUAGAAUUAAUAUGCUUGACAGGAGGUUCUAAAAACUGUUUUUAGUAGAAAAAGACCUUGGAAGUGACUGGGAUGCCACAUUCAGUCCAUGUUACAACUUCAGGAAGCAUCAACACACUUUCAGCAAGAGAGAUCAACAAGUGCAUGUGUCUUGGCCUGCUCUCCAAAGCUGAGUGGGAACAACCAGAAACCAUAAGCUACUUUUUUUUUUUUCCAAAAGAAUGUAUUCAGUAAUACAGAAACAAUCUUCCUAACAGGAGAGUAUUUCAUUUUUAAAAAUAUUUUUGUAGAUUAAUGCUACUUCUGAUUUCAUGAAUUAAUUCAAGCUAACAUAUUUCAAAACUACCUCCAGUUUAUAGUGACCAAUUCUUAAAAACUUUUAUGAACUGUACAGUUGCAUCCUUCAUGUUCACAAAAUCUUGUUUAGGAAGUGAUUGAAACUGGAUUCUUUUUUUUAUUUUUUUAUUUUUAGUCUUAUAGUAAGACUGUGAGUAAACAAGGAGAAAGCUAGUGAGUAACUUACCACUUUGGAACAGGGAUUGAUAGCAAUUCAUGUGUAUAUGUAUUUAAUUCUGUAUGUGUUUUAUAUGUGUCAGUAUGGGGGGAAGUUAAAAGAUCUCUUUAGUAGAUCAGUCUUAAAAGAUUAGAAAGGUUUUUUAGUGAUGCUUUUACAACUUCCUCUAGAACAUAUGUGUGUCAGCCUCUUUUAUGCUAAUGAUGGCUGUUUUAAACAGUGAAUUUGAUGUUAAUUUGAAAAUAAUUAUGAUUUAUAAAAAUAACGCAUUUACCCGUUGUGGUAAAUAACAUGUAAGACCAUAUUUUUCUGCCUAAAACCUAAGCUUUUAAAUGUAAAUUCAUAUUAUACUUUUGAUACUUGUAACACUUUUCUUUUUGCCUCAUACAUAUUAAUUACAAAUCCAGAGCUCGCAUUCCCUAGUGCGGGUAUCUCUUUUGGUGCUAAAACGGGAUGUUACAUGUUACUGAAGGUAUUCUGCUACUUACUUACACUCUCCUUUAAUGAAUAAACCAAACCAGUGAGGGAAGCCUUUUCUGGCAUUAAAACCAGGGCUUAAAGAACUGAUGGUAGGAGCGUUACCUUUCAGUGAACAUUAGUUACUUGUGAAUUAUCACUGCUCUUACAGUAUAGCUCUGAUAGAAAGCUUGGAGAAUACAGGACUGCCACCAGCUCCUCAGGUGACAUCAAGGAAAAAAACCAUGUUCCUACAAAAGCUGAGACAUAGCACUUUGAGUUUGAAAAAGAAAACCAGCCAUUUCAUGUGAAAAAUUGCAUCUAUACAAAACACCAUAUCAAUGUGGGGAGUAAACUCAUUUGCUCAAUACAUGUUAAUAAUUAUUUCAAGUAAAUGCACUGAUGUUUUGGGGUUGGUUUUGGUAAUAAUGUGUUUUAAAUUACGCAGUAGUCAAACAUCUGAUUAGGUGUUUCCUCUAAGCUAGACACAUUGAAAAUAACUGAUGUACUUUUGCAAGUACUUUUUCUUACUUGGAGUAGUAUUUGUGAAAUCAUAGGAAAUAUUUUGGACUAAAUAUAAAAUGAAAACUUAAACAGGUGUUUCAAGUAAUUUUCAAGUAAACUUACUGCAAAUAAAAGGUUAGAAUAGUUACUAACAGAUUGAAUGAACGGUUAUAGUGGUGUUGCAUCUUUGAAAGCAGUCCAGUUUAAAAUACUUGAACUAGAGUGUGUAAGUAAAGAUGAACUUUUCAGUAGAACUGAUAGAAAUUGUAGCUCCCUGUAUUUAUUGACACUGGAUAGCUCUGACCCAUAAUAAAAGAUAGUCAUCCAUGCUAGGGUACAUAAUACACUCCUAAACAUUUAUAGUAUCUCUGUACAAAAAAGUCUUGCUAGAAAUAGAAUAUUCUAAGUGGUUUGGUUACACAAUGUAAAACUAGCACUGGUGAGACCACAUUGUCAUCUGCUCCUCCCUUAAGAUUUACACAGAGAGGGGGAAAUGAAGUAAAUACUGACAACUGAAACUUUAUAGUGUGACCUUUGUUCCUAUGAUUUUCUUUUCGCAUUUGUUAUUAUCUUCCAGGAAGGGGCAUAGAAUAACGAUGCUGUGUAUUCCUUUUCCCUAGGCUGGAUCUUUAUCUGCCCACACCCUGAAUUUUAGGGGACAGCAUGACUCAUUUGCCAUAACAUAAUUGUCCUGACUUUAGUCUUCAGUUAUUAAACUGGUAAUUUCCAAACCAAUAUCUAGACAUGUAAAGAGGCAAUAAUUACUGUAAUGCUUCAAAAAUAAUAGAAAAAAGUAAACUAAGACAGAGUUGCUAAACUGAAGCAUUAGUUCAGUGUACAAUAAAUGACCUACCUUUUCACCAAAGAGGAGACAGGGACUCUUUGAAAUUAAUAAUGGUGUUUGCAUUGGAGGAACACUUUGGCUAACAAAGCAGAAAUGGGGCUAUAAUUGUGCAAUGCAGUUUAUCAGUAAAAAUUGAACAGGGAGAAGUUUAAGGCUAGUUAAUUUUAUUCAAAAUAUUGAUUAAAAUAAGUCUAAAUGCAGAGUGCAACAGUAGAGUGGAUGAACGCAGGUUUCCUGAUAUCUGGCAGAACUGAGAGGUUUCACUUUGGCUGCCAUUUCACUGUGACCCCCUUAACAAUUCUGAAGUAUUAAACAAUUAUACAGUCUAAGGCUGUAAUGUUCAGGCACUUUAAGAAAGAAAAAAAGGUUCUAAUGUUUGGAAGCACAACAGAGGUAAAACAUUCUUCUGUAAUGAAGGGCUAUAAGGAACAAACAUCAAAGGCCAGGGUUCUUCAUGGAAGGGACACAAUCAAGAAUGUGGAGAGGCCCAAGAAAUAGAAUUUCAUGUCAGGAAUUUUAGACCUGGAGCAAGGAGUAGGAGCGUUUGGGAUGCUUGUAGAAUUAGAUUACAGGCAAAAUAUGGGGUCUUUACCUACAUUCCUCUGUGUUUAAAAAAAAGAAAAGUCUAAAAGUAGCUCUGAAGUCAGAAGGGCCAGUCUAAAUGCCCACUGUGUGAAGGCUACUAAUAACUGGCCCUAAAAUACCUUGCUGCUUAAAACCGCUGUUAAACCUCUUUGUUAAACAUAAAUCAUAAGGGGGGUUGUGUUAUUCUUUUGCAUUGUUGUUGUUUAACUGGUGCCCAUAAAUGGUUAUGGCUUUAAAAGGCUAUUCAACAAAAUACAUAUUCUUGGCUUAAAGAAACACCAGCAGUUUUGGAAGUGUAUUUUAAUAAUGGCUCUGUCUGUAAGAACACUAUGAAAAUAUUUUUGUGCAUUGCAAAAAAUGCUGUGCUGCUGAACCAUGUACCUGACUCACAGCUACUGUAACAGAAGCUUUAGUUUUGGUCCGUUUGGGUUUUUUCUUCUAUUACCUUUUUGUUUUACCCUUCCUUUUUUCUGUUAAUGUUGAUUUUUUUUCUCCUUUCCCAUCUCUUCGUCACCUCAGGCCUAUACUUGAAUCUUUUUUUCACAAGCUCUCAUCCAUUCCUUUUUUUUAUUUUUGCCUCUGUUCUGCCUUUUUGCUGUCAUUGAGCGCUUAGCUACUUACACCGGAACUGAUGUCAUAGUAUUUAUUUUAAUUUUUUAAGAGUGGAUAAACUUUUUUCUUUAAUUAUGUAAAUCUUUUACAAAACAUUCGAUUUGCUGUAUCUAUCGGAUUUUUGGUAAAACUUUGUGUAAAAAUCAGUGACAAAAGUAUACUUUGUUUAUUUACAAAAAUCCAACACCUGCCUGUGAAUGACUUUAUUUUUAUAAAGUAACCUCUUACAAUUGGCUUUUCAAAUUUAAAGCUUUUUUCUAGAAUUAGCUCAGUGGUUUGAAACUUUUUAUUCCGUUAAAUAUUAUCAGGCUGCUGUCAUAGGCAGAAUUAGGCAAACAUUUAAAUUAAUAUUCUGGAUAAAUGGGCAGCUUCUUUACAGUAUUAACUAGAGGAAGUCUUCAAAGAAUAGGCUGUAGAAGUAAACCUAAGCAAAGUAUCGUUUGCUUGUGCUUUUAAUCCUUACUUUCUCUGACACUUGAUCAGUUUAUAGGUUUAUUUUGCUGUCUGCAGUGGUUUGCAGUGCAGAUAUGCUGUAAGCAAACUGUUCUAAUGACUUUCUUGCUGGAAUGGUAGAGAUUUCAUCUCACCAUGACACAGUAUUGUGUACAAAUUGCUGAGUAAGAGUUCGGGGUGGGGGGAAAGGUAAUACACUAACUAGGACAGUAUAUUGUGUAUGUGCUGCUCUGAGAGAUAACAUGUAAGAUUAGCUGAUUUUGGCAGAAGGUAUGGUGUCUUUAAAUAUGUGUGCUUACAUAUUUGGAUUUAAAAUUUUGAUACUUAAAGCGUGGUUUCUUUAGAUGUUUCUGCAUUCUGACUUUUAAGUUUAAAUAUAUAUAUAUUUGCAUAUAUAUGAGGUAUGUGGAGAACUUUUACAAAUGCUUCAUUAAUGAAUAAUGAAUAUAAAUAGUUGUUUCCCUAAUGUUAACCAGCUUCUUAAGAGUUAAGCACAACUAGUUACAAAUAAAAUGUCUUUUCAUUCUCCUAUAAAAGUGCAGUUCUACUCUUUAAAAAGAAUUCUGUACAAAAAAGCAACAGAUGGGCACAUUCACAGAUCUGUCUGCUUAGUUAAAAACCUCAGUGUUUGUUUCCAGCUUCUCAGACUUAGAAGCGUGGGAUUUAGGCUGGAUGAGCAGGUAUCCAUAUCUUUUAGUGGAUACAUUUUAAUAUUCAGAUCCCAGGGCAAGCAUAUUUUAAGAUAAACAGCUUUGUCCUGGAGACAAUGCUGGGCAUAAAAUCAUGGAAAUUUUUAACGACUGUUCUUGAGUCUCUUAAUUUGUUUGUUGGUUUUUUUUUAUUAUUUCCUAGAGUAGAACCACACUUUAACUGCCAUAUCAUGUUUAAAUAACUUAAACAUAACAUGGCUUUGUGCCAUCCAAUAAUGAAGGCACUGUCUUGCUGCUACUUUCUGUGAAAUUAUACACAAUUAAUGAAAAACUAUUUGGAUGGGGAGCCUUAAUAUGGUUAAAAAGAAACAUAAUUAACCCUUUGGGUGCCUUAAGACAUAUCUCCUUUAAUAAAUGGGCACUCACUUGAAUUUGCAGGCACACAGCAUGUUUUCUCCAGAUGGAUUAGAUUAUUGCCUUAAGUGACAGUGCCCUGGGAUUUCCGAAACUUGGAACUCAAAGGGUUAUUUUAGACUACUGUUUGAAAACAAAGUCCCUAAACAGGGAACAAAAUGAAAAGGUCUUCGAAAAAUUCCUUUGCGUACUAUUGUUAUUAUUUUUACGUGAUGGGUUUAUCAGCUUUCAGGGGCAAAAUUAUUGCUAAACUUCUGAAAACACUUAGCUGGCCGAAGAAUUCUACACAGAGAAAAAGAGUACUUGGUGUUCUUUUAUGACUGUAUGUGCAAAUAAAUUGCUUUAUUAAGUAUAAAUUCAGGAAGAGAUGCACAUCUGUGUGUUUAUCUUGAUGACUGUGCAAAAUACAGUAAAUGGCAAUAAAAAUAUAACGAGGCCAGUGUGUUUAAUUAGCUUAUUACACAUUAAAGAUGCACAGUGCAGACAACUCUAUUCUGAAGACUUUCUAUAAAUGAUGCAGUUUCAAACCUGCAUCACAAAAAUAAAGCUGUCAAAUUGAAAUUACACUCUUGCAGUCCUAGCUACCUGGAGUUGAAGAUAAAUGUGAUGCUUUUUUCCCUUGGGGGGGGGAAAAAGUAGUUUAGGUACAUGCAGUGUUGAAAGCAAUGGAAAUAACAGGAGUAAUUUACAAAAACUGAGUAAAAAUUAAUUGACUAAUGUUUUUAUUCUCAUGUGUGCACCUUUAGUUGUGUAAUGGUCCCUUUUACUGAAGAAUGGGAUAGCAUUUUCUACUUGCAUAUGGACUUCCUUGAAAUAACCAAGAGUCUUGGCAUUGCCUGUUCUGGCUUUGGAUGUACGUUGUACUGAAACUAUUGAAUUUUAGUAAUUUCUUUUAGACAUUUAACGGAAAGUUAAAAUGGCUAGUAAACUGCAUUCUGAUUGUAGAAUUUAAGUACUAAAUAAACUCUAUGCAUAUGAGA